UGGAAAUCUGUUAGGGAAUUCUGGAGCAGCAAUGAUGGUGAUAGAAGGCUGACAUAAGUGUAACCCAGAAACAGGGGCGGAAAUAGAGAAAUUUUCUUAGGGUGGUAUGAAGGUGGCAUGGAAAUCAAAUGGGGUCACAAAAGCAGAUGAAGAGAAGAUGAUGGAACUAUUUGAUCAAGUUGUGGCCCGUGAUUGUUUGGGACGAAUACAUGUUGACAGGAAAAAAGCAAUCUGCAGCAGUCUGUGUAUUCAUUACUGAAAUGACUAUCAAAAAAUAUUUCGCAUGACAUCUUCAUUCAGAAUGAAUUCAAGUAUUAUUUCAUCCCUGUCUAUUAGUGCCAUCACGGUGCAUACACUGGUGCGGCUGAUCCCAAUACCCAACCAAGUAUGACAGGGACUAAAGGUCUGUGGUUCAGAUGAAGUGCGGGGACCUUCACCAGAUGUGCCAGCAACUCUUACAUUUGAAGUAUAUAAGUGAAGUUGUAAAAGAGGCUCACACUCACACUUUUUUUAGUUAUGGUAUCUGUUCCGCCGGUCUGCCUUCAGCACAAAAAUAUCUGCUUUUUCUAGAGGUACUGGAGUCUGAGAAUGUAUGCGGGACCCUGGAGGCAGCACCAUCAUACCAGCUGGUGAGUCUGUAGGAGGAGAUGGAGUGGUGUUCCCCCUCUGACUCUGCUGCACAGGGGUAAAAAGGGUGUCAUCAGCUGCUCUGAGUGAAACAAUCCCCUGAAUGCGAUAUGAGGAAACUCCUUGGACCCCGUAACCAGGUCAUGGUAAAGGGAGAGGAAUAGAUUGUUCAUAGAGUUCAAAUGGCUGCUGUUUAAAGGAUGGUUCCUCAAGUUUGUGAUGAACAUCUGACCUAUGAACAUCACCUACGAGAAAACAAAAACAGGGAUGCAGACUUCCUCGCGUUUGUGCUGUCACCUGACUUUGGUGAGGAAGGCCCAAUCAGAAGACAGUGGGAUUUGUGACGGGAGAUGUACGGUUCCAGGAUGUAACAAUAUGGACAUAAACAACUGUGGGAUAUUGUCUGUUCGUGAUUUGGACAGGGGGAACAAACUGUGGCAGGAUCAGCCUGAUAUUAUUUGUAUCCCACUGUAACUUUACUGUAUAAAGAGCUAACAUCUCCAAAAAUUCAGGAGUAGUUAAUCAUCAUAAGAAGUAUUGAUGAACUAAAAAUCAAGAAUGUGGGGUACUGUUUGUCUGUGAUUUGGACGCUGGGGAAACAAAUUCUGCCGUGGAUACUUACCUUGGCACCACCGUUGUGCAGGUGAAGCCAAAGGCAAGAUAUGCUUCAUCAUAUUUUCUAGUCUUUGGCUUGGAAACAUAUUUGGCGUUGCUUCAUCUUCUGCUUUGCGUUUGUGUGGGAGCCCCAUCAAAAACCUGUCCACUAUGCAAGCAGUGUCCAAGCAUACUUUUUUUUUAUUCAUACCCCUCCACUUUGGGAACGACUGUGUUACUGGGUGGUUGUGGCCUAUGAGUUGAGUCACAUCUGCCCCCAAGUAAUGAAUACAUUUCAUACAAAUCAUCUACUGAUGGAAAGGUUGGCAGUUCCAUCCCUGGCUGCUCCAGUCUAUAUCUCAAAGUAUCCUUGAGCACAAUACUGAACACAAGUUGAAUGUGGGAAAGAAAGUUAGAAAAGGAAAACAUUAGAUAGAGAGCCCUUAGAUGUAGGAAGGGUGCUUGUAUGAAUGUGUGUGAAUGACGCAUGUUGUAUAAAAUGCUUUGAGUGCAUGAGUAGAAAAGUGCUAUAUAAAAGUCCAUUUUAUAAAGCAGUUGCUUAUUGCUAUGUGAUAGCCAUUAGCAGAUUUGGAGGUAGACUCCAGGUGCCUUAUUCGUGGUAAAACAAGAGACAGAUUUAUCUAUGAGGAUUUUUCUUUUUUUUACAAACUAGCUUCAAAUGAAUGAAUAUUAGUAAAUUUUUAAAAAAUUCAAUAAACAUUGUUAAACAUUAACAAAAAGCAGCAGAGCUUGUUCUUUUUAUUCUGUUAUUUUAUUACAAUAUGACAUUACAAAUAAAUGAUGUAGACUGUUUCAAAAUGACUGGGGAUUUUAAAAGGCAAACAGCUAAAAAACAACCAUCACAAACCAUGCAAAUGUAUUCAUUACAAACAAAAGUAUUAGUUGGGACUUUUAUAAAAUAUGAAGCAACUUUCGCUGCUGCUGUCAGCUGUUCGACUCAAAUUGUACAUUUGGACUUCACUAAAGAGAGAAAUACUGUCAUGUAAAGAGUUUCAUUAAUUUCAUCUAAUAACUAUUUAAUUUAACAGAAAAUACAAACAAAGAAACAAAAAAAAAAAAAAAAAAAAAAAAG